CCGAUGCCCCCUGCUGUGAGGACGUGGGUGAAACGGCUGGAGAAAGCUGUGACCUCAGCUGCGAUGGUGGCUACCUCGUCGGGUACCACGGAGACUCGGCACACCUGGACCCCCAGGGAACGCAGUGUCCGGCACAGAAAGUCCUUGGCACUUUUCACCUGGAUGGUGGCAACAGACCCCUGGCCAGGCUCCCAGUGUCCUGCCACAGCACUCUGCCCUAGGCCUCCGCAGCAACCUUCCUAACAUGUCACUGUGAUUGUGUCACUCUUGGCUGAAAAGUCGCUUGUUAUUUCCAACCAUAUACAGAAUAAAGUUCAAAUUCCUUUACAGAAUA